rnacentral:rRNA from 1 species
AAUAUUGGUCAAUGGAGGCAACUCUGAACCAGCCAUGCCGCGUGCAGGAUGACGGUCCUAUGGAUUGUAAACUGCUUUUGUACAGGAAGAAAACAUACUACGUGUAGUAAAUUGACGGUACUGUAAGAAUAAGGAUCGGCUAACUCCGUGCCCGCAGCCGCGGUAAUACGGAGGAUCCAAGCGUUAUCCGGAAUCAUUGGGUUUAAAGGGUCCGUAGGCGGCCUUAUAAGUCAGCGGUGAAAGUUUUUGGCUUAACCAAAAAAUUGCCGUUGAUACUGUAGGGCUUGAAUUUUUGUGAAGUAACUAGAAUAUGUAGUGUAGCGGUGAAAUGCUUAGAUAUUAGGAGGAACACCAGUGGCGAAGGCGACUCUCUGGACUGCAACUGACGCUGAGGCACGAAAGCGUGGGGAGCGAACA